UCGCCUGUUUAUCAAAAACAUCUUUUCUUGACUUGUUUUUUGAAGUAUAGCCUGCCCACUGAUAUUAUUUGAAGGGCCGCGGUAUUUUGACCGUGCAAAGGUAGCAUAAUCAUUAGUUCUUUAAUUGUGAACUGGUAUGAAUGGCUUGACGAGGUGCUAACUGUCUUUGUGUUUAAAAGUUUUGUUGAAUUUAGUUUUAGGGUAAAAAUACUCGAAUUUUGUUGGAGGACGAGAAGAMCUAUAGAGUUUCAUGUAACUUUCUUUUUUUUUGUUUGUUAUUUCUUGUUGAUUUUAUUUGCUUUUUGUUGGGGUGAUGAAAAAAUAUGUUUAACUUUUCUUUUUAAUGUUUCACUUAUUUGUGUUUUCAUGAUCCUUUAUUAUUGAUUAUAAAAUUAAAUUACCUUAGGGAUAACAGCGUAAA
rnacentral:rRNA from 1 species